UGAUUCAACCUAAGUGUCUUUGUACAAAUAGAGAUGUUGUAAGUAAGUGUGUUGUUGCAGGUACCUCUCAAGAUGCAAUUGUUGGUUCAUUCUAGUCAUUUUUAAGCUCCAUUCUUCAUUAAUUCCAUAGUUUUCGUGGUCAACUUUGAUCCAAAUUUUAUGACUUCUUGAACUCUGGUAUUUAUUUCUUCACUCCAAAAUACAGUGUAAAAUCUUUAGUGG
rnacentral:misc_RNA from 1 species